rnacentral:rRNA from 1 species
UAAUACGUAGGGGGCGAGCGUUAUCCGGAUUUACUGGGCGUAAAGAGAGCGUAGGCGGUUCUUCAAGUCGGAUGUAAAAUCUCCCGGCUCAACUGGGAGGGAUCAUUCGAUACUGUUGGGCUAGAGGACAGCAGAGGGAGGUGGAAUUCCCGGUGUAGUGGUGGAAUGCGUAGAUAUCGGGAGGAACACCAGUGGCGAAGGCGGCCUCCUGGGCUGUUUCUGACGCUGAGGCUCGAAGGCAUGGGGAGCGAACAGGAUUAGAUACCCUGGUAGUCCAUGCAGUAAACGAUGGACACUAGGUAUAGGAGGUAUCGACCCCUCCUGUGCCGAAGCUAACGCUUUAAGUGUCCCGCCUGGGAAGUACGGUCGCAAGACUA